rnacentral:rRNA from 1 species
GAUGAACGCUGGCGGCGUGCCUAAUACAUGCAAGUCGAACGCAUAGCGAAAGGUGCUUGCACCUUUCACGUGAGUGGCGAACGGGUGAGUAACACGUGGACAACCUGCCUCAAGGCUGGGGAUAACAUUUGGAAACAGAUGCUAAUACCGAAUAAAACUUAGUGUCGCAUGACACAAAGUUAAAAGGCGCUUCGGCGUCACCUAGAGAUGGAUCCGCGGUGCAUUAGUUAGUUGGUGGGGUAAAGGCCUACCAAGACAAUGAUGCAUAGCCGAGUUGAGAGACUGAUCGGCCACAUUGGGACUGAGACACGGCCCAAACUCCUACGGGAGGCUGCAGUAGGGAAUCUUCCACAAUGGGCGAAAGCCUGAUGGAGCAACGCCGCGUGUGUGAUGAAGGCUUUCGGGUCGUAAAGCACUGUUGUAUGGGAAGAACAGCUAGAAUAGGAAAUGAUUUUAGUUUGACGGUACCAGACCAGAAAGGGACGGCUAAAUACGUG